UAUUUUGUAUACGAGCCCAAUGUGCGACGCAGCAUACAUCGAAAACCGAAAGACGCCAUUGUCGCCACAAUUAUUGCCGCUCUUGUAGAAAAAGUUGCAAAAAGUAUUUUCUCGCAAAAUUUUAUAUAUUUAGCAUAUUUAUUGCUUCUGUGUCCUUCCAAUUCUUCUUGUGUUGUGUAUUUCGGUGAUAGAUGGUGAUAACAUGUAUGGAUUAAUGGUAUUAUGAUUGUGUUAGUUAGAUAUAUGAUACAGUGAAAAGUUUAUAUUAUAGAAGUGACUUACCUGAGAACGAUUUUGAUACAUAACCAGCAUUGCGUAUAUUGAAUACGCUGACACAACACUAUCUUAUUGGUUAUGUAUGGUCAGCGCUAAAAUGGGUAUAUGAGCCAGUGAGUUACGGUUUUUUUUUCAAUUUUUAUUUGCUGAAUGUCUGCUAAAAGAAGUAGGAAGUCCGGUAUGUUAUAUCGCAGCCGCGAUAAAAUAUUAAAACUCAUGCGGGAACAAGCGGAGUGUGAUGAACCUUUUCCUGACGAACUUCAUGAUAUCAGUAGCUUGAAUGGUGAAAAUGAUGUGCAACAAAUGGACAAUACCAUAUUUGAAGAUAUGGACCCUACACAUUCAUCCAACAUAGAAGAUGGCGAAAUAAACCAUUUUGAUGAAAUCAUCGAGGACGAAUCGGAAAUGCUAUUCCAGACAAAUGAUGAUUUCAUUCAUGAAAACAUGUCCGAAGAAGAUUGUAUUCGUUUUUGGGCCCUUUCGACGAAUCAAUCAUACCGGUCAAUAAAAAUGGUAUUGGAAAUAUUGAAAUCAAAAUACAACGCCAAUGUUCCAAAAAGCGCCAGAACAUUGCUAAAAACUAGACGAAGCAAUGAAGGAAUCAUGGAUAUACCAGGCGGCAAGUACUGGUACAAUGGCAUUCGUAACUGUAUUUCCAAGUAUUUCAGCAAAUGUGCACCUGUGAUGUCCACUCUAACAUUAAAUGUUUCCAUUGAUGGGGAACCUGUUCAUAACAGUGGUAAAACUCAGCUAUGGCCAAUAUUCAUCAAUUUGUUUUAAAUGCCUGAUGUGCCGCCGAUGUGUGUUGCUAUAUUUUGUGGCGAAAGCAAACCUACACAAUUAGAGGAUUAUUUAAGACCUUUGGUUGAGGAUUUGAAGGAUGUCCUGGUUAACGGCAUAGAAAUACAAAAUGCGCAAAUUUCCAUUCAAUUGAGAGCAAUUAUAGCUGAUUCCCCGGCACGCUCCUUUAUAAAAGGUUAGGGAUUUUCAACAAAAUUUGUGUAAUAUUAGUCACUAAUUAGUUCAUUUUACAGCUGUAAUUGCUUGUCACGCUAAGGAAGGAUGCCUCAAAUGUUGUUGCAUGGGUAUACACAGUGCAGAAGCACAUACCAUUGUGUUUCCUAAUCUUCGUAGUAAACCUCGUACCCACGAUUCAUUUGAAAAACAAGAAAUAAAAGGCCAUCACAAAGGAACUACACCACUAUUAGAAAUUCCUUAUAUAGAUAUCGUGCGGGACAUUAUUGUGAGCGAUCUACUACACCUUUUGUUUUUAGGAGUGUUUCGCAGAUUGCUUCGUGGUUGGAAGGAAGGCAAGUUAUCGCGAAUUAUAAAAUGGUACGAUGAAGAAUGCGGAAUAAUUUCUUCAUUUUUAAAGUCUAUAAAGCUUCCACGUGAGAUACAUAGGCAAAUUAGACCAAUCGAAUAACCGGCCACAUUACAAAGGGUCAGAAAUAAGUUCGUUUUUUACUAUGCAAGUAUAGUUUUACUAAAAAAGUGCUUCCAGCUAAUGCCUAUAAUAAUUUUCUGAUACUAUUUUGCGCAAUUACUUUACUAUCUUCCUCUGUGUAUAAAAAUAACUGGAAAGUUGCUGGUACAAUGUUAACGAAUUUUGUUGGAGGUGUAAGAGAACUUUAUGGUGUUAAAGCUUUAGUGAGUAACUUUCAUAACCUAUUACAUAUCUACGAAGAAAUUAACCAUUUCGGUCCUCUAAUUACCCUUUUAUCGUUCCCAUUUGAAAGUCGAUUGGGAUACUUAAAAUAUCUUUUGCGUGGUGGUUCUUAACACAUAGAACAAGUUGUUAAUAGAAUCCUAGAGCUACAAGAUUUUGUGUUUUAUAAAAAUGAGAACGUAGAACUUUACCCUGCUUUAAAGAAACGAAAAACUUCAUGUGAUAAAGACUUGCAUGUAAGAUCGGAUUUUGUAUUACAAAAUGACGAUCACAAUGGAUGCUUUUUGAUUAAAGAUAACAAAAUUGUUAGAUUCAGGGGAGCUGUGGCGAAUGAUGAAGAUAGCUAUGCAGCAUCAGGGGAAGUUUUGAAAAUUAAACACGAUUUCUUUGAACGUCCUUUUAAAUCUUCGCACAUAAACAUAUAUGUAGGAAACACUAAUGAUUUAGAAUUUGAAAACAUUGUAUAUAGUUGCGAUCGAAUGAAAUGUAAAUUGAUAGCAUUAGGUACUGGUAAGAAAGGUGAAUUCGGUUUUAUUCCAUUAAAUCAUACAUUGGUUGGCUAAAAUAAAUUAUAGCCAAUAUGCAUUACACAUGUUAUACACGUAUCACAAUGUAAUAUUAUAUUUUUUUAUUUUACUUUUAGUAAAAACGUGUGAUGUGCUUUUCCUCUUUCCGGUGAUCUUUGACCGCGCUUUGGCGCUUUUCAAAUUGCUUUUUAAAAAGUCGUGCACAUCAGGAACAGUGGAUGUCGUUGUGCCAAUAAAUCGAAAUAGUUCAAUAAUUUUUUCAAACUUUUUAAACUCCACUUUGCUUUCCGGAAAUCCUAUUCCACUCCAACUGCACUUAGGGAGGAAAUUCUUAUCGAAAAUUUUAUCCAAAGCUUUUAUCAUGCGAUUUUUACUGCCAGUGUUAGUUAUAGAGCUUUGCAACCAUUCUUGUAUUUUUGUCUUCUCCUCGUCUUUCAAGAAAUUCCAUACGUUUUUCUUGGCUUGCUAACAUUUUGAAGAUCUUGUUAUGAUCCUCGACCAUUUUAUUUUUUAAGUCUACCACACACUCAAUGAGUUUCUCAAUAUUUUUAUUAGAUGUUGGAGCUGAAAAUGAUGUGGACUCAAAGUUUUCUUCCUCUUCGUCGGGCGCCCACUCUGAAUAUUUCAUAUCGUCUGGAUGACAUACAAUUUCGAUUUUUUCAGGAUCUGUUAAUUGUUGCUGAGCACUUUUUGCAGACGAAGAAUCUUCAUACAAUCGUUUGGUCAGUUGUUUAGUACGUUGAAUUGCAUCUUCAAACGUAGAAAAACCUGUCUGUAAGACGGUGCAACGUUUUAUUUCAAAUUGGCUGGGUGGUUCAUGAUGUUGUGCCCUGGUUAGAUAUUUUUCUAUCGGAAAAUUUCGUAUUGCUGAUGGCCAUAACAAAUACAAACAAUUUCUACUGGUUUAUUGUACCCAAGUGUCUGGUAAAGCUUGGAUAUUUCCUUCAUCUGUUUUUACAAUUGCAUACGGCAUCUUCAAUUAAUCAAUAUCGUGAUUGUACCAUGUUUUAAUAAACUAUACGAUUUCUCUUAAAAAUAACAGUACUGUUGAUUCAGAGGAAAUGGUUCAAGAAGGCAGAAUUGCUUCGAAACAAAAUAUCACACAUCAAAUUGAUGAAUGAAAUAUAGUACAAAAUCUAAAAAUGAGUACAAUGUUUCAAAUUUUCAAACUCAACCAUUGUUUGUGAUAUCGAAACAUACAAGCAUUGUGCGAUCAUUGUUAUUGUUAUAUAUUUGUUUACCUCUUUAUCUUAUCCUUUGACAGCUUACAGUAUAAUUCUAAUAGUAUAAUAUUAUUUAGAUAUAUAACAACUAUUUCUACGUUUUUCUUUCAAAAUAUCAAAAUAAACACUACAAUUAUGUUACGGACAUUAAUUUACCUUUAUAUUACCGCAUUGUACAACUCAUAUCUUGCAGUGGAAUUCACAAUAAACCAUUAUGAGGUAUUCAUCGAUUGAGGAUUGAUUAAUUCUAUGUUUCUUCCUAUUUGCUCAUAGAUACUUACCAUUAACAAUAUGCUUUGUACUGCUGCAGGUGAAUUUAACGAUAGGAUAAGAGAAACUUGUGACCGCUAAUUUGCUCCUAAAAUAUUGUUUUGACAGUAACUCUUUCCUUCACCUUCAUGUUCUUCUUACAUAUUUUUUGGACAAGCAACAAAAAACUGCUCGAAUGGGUAAAUUAACAGAAGGCUGUCUGACUGGGCAGUUCCUGCGAUUGUUAGGAUUGGACAGCACCAGUCGUGGUGGUUCGGAAGGCUAACGGUAAAAUACGGCUUUGCGGAAACUAUAGCACCGGACUGAAUGCAGCACUACACCCGCGCGAAUACCCGCUUCCUUUACCCCAGGACAAUUCUUCCAAGCAAGCCCGUUGCGUAAUAUUUAUAUUACGAUAUUAAGAUAUAUAUUACAAAUUGAUUUAUCCGAUGCAUUUUUGCAGGUAAAAAUAGAAGCAAAGAGCCGAUCCCUGCUAACCAUCAAUACGCAUCGUGGCUUUUACCAUUACAACAGGCUUUCUCCAGGCAUAAAAGUGGCCCUCUCAAAUAAUCCACUGUGUGAUCGGUCUACAUAUGUAAAAUCAUACAUUUCGAAUCAGCAGCAUUUUAUCCGUAUUCAAUUCAAGCAGUAAAACCGAAAACGAUUAUCUGGUCUUAAAAACAACAUAAUCACCCAGGAAACUGCACCCUGCCAAAUUUUGUUGCAUCACUCCGAUGCAAUCAUCCAGUUCGAAUCCAUAACACUAGCGAUAUGUAAAAUAAUGUCUUUGCCAGGUGAAAGUAAGCUGGAACAAUAAUAAAAUUAAUAUUCAAAAUUUGUGAUGGCGUUAAUCAACUUCGUAUGUUCGUAUGAAACUCAUAUACGAAUGAAUAACAUUUUUGUGCCAGAAGGCAAUAUUUAGCUGAUAACGAUUCACUAGACAACAGCUUCAAUGCAACGAUGUUGGUAUUAAUGUGGGCAAGAGGAGAACGUAAUACAGGCGUCCCCCAAGUUCCGACCCCCUCGAGUUAUAACGAUUUGCAGAUACGACGAUAUUUAUUUUUACAGUUAAUAGUUUGUCAUUGAGAAUAAAUUAUAUGUAUUGGUUGGAAAUUGAGAGAGACCGAACACACCCUUUAUUGGGAAUUGAGUGGCUUAAGCAGAAUCCGAUUCGUAUAUUCCAGUAGGAAUUGUGCCUAAUUUUUGAAUCUUAGUAACAAUCGUAUCCAUCGUUAGCGGAGCACGUAGGCUCGUGUUUAGUGUUGGGAGAUUCAGAAUUCGGAAGAUUCGAAGAUUCAAUCCCAAGAAAGAUUCGAUCGGAUCGGAUCCCGUUUGUAGGAUUUGAAUCCUUAAAAGAUUCCUUUGCGAUUGGGAUUUGAUUGCGAUUUGAUUGGGUUGAGGAUUCGUUUGCGAUUCGAUUGGGAUUGGGAUUUGUUUGGGAUUCGAUUGGGAUUCUAGUUGGGAUUGGGAUUGCGUUUCGAUUGGG